rnacentral:tRNA from 1 species
GGGAACGUAGCUCAGUUGGUAGAGCAUCGCCUUUGCAAGGCGGUGGUCGCAGGUUCGAAACCUGUCGUUUCCACCA